rnacentral:rRNA from 1 species
CCUACGGGGGGCAGCAGUGGGGAAUAUUGCACAAUGGACGAAACUCUGAUGCAGCGACGCCGCGUGAGUGAAGACGUAUUUCGGUACGUUAAGCUCUAUUAGCAGGGAAGUAAAUGACGGUACCUGACUAAGAAGCCACGGCUAACUACGUGCCAGCAGCCGCGGUAAUACGGAGGGGGCCAGCGUUAUCCGGAUUUACUGGGUGUAAAGGGAGCGUAGGCGGCAGCGCAAGUCUGAAGUGAAAUCCCAUGGCUUAACCAUGGAACUGCUUUGGAAACUGUGCAGCUGGAGUGCAGUAGAGGUAAGCGGAAUGCCUAGUGUAGCGGUGAAAUGCGUAGAGAUUAGGAGGAACACCAGUGGCGAAGGCGGCUUACUGGACUGUAACUGACGUUGAGGCUCGAAAGCGUGGGGAGCAAACAGGAUUAGAUACCCUAGUAGUC